GCAAAAGCACUGCUCGUGAACUGC
rnacentral:siRNA from 1 species